GGGUUAGUAAAGGUUUCGACAGGGAUUUUGAAGCUGGAGAAGCUAUCCGCAGGACGGUGCGUCAAACCUCAAAUUAAAAUUAAACGCUAACGAUAAUUUAGCUUACGCUGCCUAAGUGCAGCAUGUCAGCCUAAGUGCACCUACACAUUUAGUAACUGGCAUCAAACUUUGUAGGAAACGACAUAGCUUAAGCUUUGCGGCUAUGGUCGUAUCAUGAAGCUACCUUUUGUUUGUAGUUGUCAAUUACCGCAGACAGAAGGGAACGGAAGUGCAGAACUUCGAAAUAAUUGACUACGAUAGUAGAAGUACAGGGGAUGAAUUUUUGGACGCGGGUUCGACUCCCGCCUAAUCCACUA
rfam:Butyrivibrio hungatei strain MB2003 chromosome I, complete sequence.